CAUCACCGCCAUCGCCAUCACGUUUUCUUUCGCACAUGUACGCACAUUGCGCAUUGCGCACAUGUUUGGACCAGUCGUGGUUUGAUAUUGAGGUUUGGUCCUGCCAGGGCCAACGCUGCCAGCAGCGACGUUUGUCCGCCGCUUUUUAUCUGACGUAUGUGUACUUACGUUGACCGCUGUUGGGUGUUGUGUGGUGGAUGUUCUCUGGCUGUGUCGCGUACAAUAAGAACGGUAGAAGAGUUUCUGAACUCCGGUCGCCUCGGCAGUGCGCCAUUGGCCAGCAAAGUCGCGCUUUCCUAAACCCAUAGUUCAUACCGUGUCGUCUGGCAUGGACGUAGACCACUGUUGGGUGCUGUGUCGCGUACAUACAACAAGAACCGUGGAAGAAUUUCUGAACCCUGUCCGCCCCGCCAGUAGGCCAUUGGCCAGCAAAGGCACACAGCGAUCGGACUGAGCAUAUCAAGUAGCCCCUCCUGUGACCCAC
rnacentral:lncRNA from 1 species